UUAGCUCAUAUUUGUAUGGAAUGGGAUCGUUUGCGUACGUUCGCCGCUAGGGGCGCUGUUCCAACUGCAUACAAAAAUGGCUUA
rnacentral:pre_miRNA from 1 species